rnacentral:rRNA from 1 species
GGAUUGCCCCAGUAACGGCGAGUGAAGCGGCAACAGCUCAGAUUUGAAAUCUGGCCCCCCUCGGGGGUCCGAGUUGUAAUUUGCAGAGGAUGCUUCGGCGUCGGCGCCGGGUCAAGUCCCUUGGAACAGGGCGUCCUGGAGGGUGAGAGCCCCGUACCAGCCCGGGCCGCCUUCGCCGCGUGAAGCUCCUUCGACGAGUCGAGUUGUUUGGGAAUGCAGCUCUAAGCGGGAGGUAAAUUUCUUCUAAAGCUAAAUACCGGCCGGAGACCGAUAGCGCACAAGUAGAGUGAUCGAAAGAUGAAAAGCACUUUGGAAAGAGAGUCAAAAAGCACGUGAAAUUGUUGAAAGGGAAGCUCUUGCCGCCAGACUUGCCGUGGCCGUUCAGCCGUCCCCUCGGGGGCGGUGCACUCGGUCGCCGGCAGGCCAGCGUCGGCUCGGGCGGUCGGGUAAAGGCCCCGGGAACGUAGCCCCCCUCGGGGGGUGUUAUAGCCCGGGGUGCAACGCGGCCAGCCCGGGUCGAGGCUCGCGUUUUUCGCUAGGACGCUGGCGUAAUGGCUGCAAGCGACCCGUCUUGAAACACGGACCAAGGAGUCUAACAUCUGUGCGAGUGUUUGGGCGCAAAACCCAUGCGCGCAAUGAAAGUGAACGGAGGUGGGAACCCCUCGCGGGGUGCACCAUCGACCGAUCCUGAUGUCUUCGGAUGGAUUUGAGUAAGAGCAUAGCUGUUAGGACCCGAAAGAUGGUGAACUAUGCGUGGAUAGGGUGAAGCCAGAGGAAACUCUGGUGGAGGCUCGCAGCGGUUCUGACGUGCAAAUCGAUCGUCAAAUCUGCGUAUAGGGGCGAAAGACUAAUCGAACCAUAAACUCCACGGCGGGCAACGACAAAAGGUGCCGCUAGGUGGUUGAUAGGGGCGGGGUUUCGAGACGGGCGUCAACGCCGGCGUCUACAACCCCCUCCUAGCCGGGCGUGAUAAGACCCUCCGCGGAAACUUGCCGGGGGGGUUGGCAACGCCCGGCGACGCGGCCAGACUGCGGGGACAUCCCACGGCGGCCGGCGCUACCGCGGCCCCCAAGCUCCCGUUGAGGGUAAGGGGGUGCAGCACCGGGGUCUAGCGCCCCGGGGACGGUAAAAACGCGCCGGGAGCAGGACGAUCCGCAGCCGGGGUCCUCGGGGCGAUUGAAGCCCCCAGGAGCGCCGGUUCACAGGCUAGACGGUCGCGGGCCCACGGGCUCAAGGUAUAGUCGGAAGCACCCCUGAAAUGGGGGGCGGUGGCUCCUUUUCGGGGCCACGGGAACUGCUAGUAGCUGGUUCCUGCCGAAGUUUCCCUCAGGAUAGCAGUAACGUAUUCAGUUUUAUGAGGUAAAGCGAAUGAUUAGAGGCCUUGGGGUUGAAACAACCUUAACCUAUUCUCAAACUUUAAAUAUGUAAGAAGCCCUUGUUGCUUAGUUGAACGUGGGCAUUCGAAUGUACCGUUACUAGUGGGCCAUUUUUGGUAAGCAGAACUGGCGAUGCGGGAUGAACCGAAAGCGGGGUUAAGGUGCCGGAGUGGACGCUCAUCAGACACCACAAAAGGUGUUAGUUCAUCCAGACAGCCGGACGGUGGCCAUGGAAGUCGGAACCCGCUAAGGAGUGUGUAACAACUCACCGGCCGAAUGAACUAGCCCUGAAAAUGGAUGGCGCUCAAGCGUCCCACCCACACCCCGCCGCCGGGGCGGAAGCGAAGCCCCGGCGAGUAGGCAGGCGCGGGGGUCCGUGACGAAGCCUCGGGGGUGACCCCGGGUAGAACGGCCUCUGGUG